rnacentral:tmRNA from 2 species
GGGGACGUACUGGUUUCGACAGGGGUCACUGUAUCAUAAAUAGCGAGCCGGGAUUCCAUCUGCCCGUAAAACGGUGGGAAAACAUAAAAGCAAACAACGAAUUUGCUUUAGCAGCUUAAUUUAAACUGCUUGCCUCUUCGGAGUAUUCCUGUGACUUCGGACAGGUAUCAACUAACAGGAUACCAAUGAGAGACUUCCGGUAUCUCGGCGGGAAACAACACCGGAAUAGAUAAAGGCAGUUUGUUCCUGUACGAAACUUUAUCGAAUUCAUAAAACAGUAACUGCGCUCGGAGAAGUUUAUGGGGCAGGCCUUUUGGACAGGGGUUCGACUCCCCUCGUCUCCACCA